UGGACUAUUGAGAGUUGUAUU
ensembl:piRNA 21ur-2034 ncRNA